rnacentral:rRNA from 1 species
AGAGUUUGAUCAUGGCUCAGAAUGAACGCUGGCGGCGUGCUUAACACAUGCAAGUCGAACGAGAAAGUUUCCUUCGGGAAGCGAGUAGAGUGGCGCACGGGUGAGUAAUACGUAGAUAAUCUACCUUUGAAUUUGGGAUAACAUCGCGAAAGUGGUGCUAAUACCGGAUAAUAUUUAUAAGACUUUGGUUUUGUAAAUCAAAGAUGGCCUCUUCUUGAAAGCUAUUGUUUGAAGAUGAGUCUACGCACCAUUAGCUUGUUGGUGGGGUAAAGGCCUACCAAGGCGACGAUGGUUAGCUGGUCUGAGAGGAUGAUCAGCCACACUGGAACUGACACACGGUCCAGACUCCUACGGGAGGCAGCAGUGAGGAAUUUUGCGCAAUGGGGGAAACCCUGACGCAGCAACGCCGCGUGAGUGAUGAAGGCUCUUGGGUCGUAAAACUCUGUCAGUAGGGAAGAAAUUGCGUAUAAUUAAUACUUAUAUGUAUUGACGGUACCUACAAAGGAAGCACCGGCUAACUCCGUGCCAGCAGCCGCGGUAAUACGGGGGGUGCAAGCGUUAUUCGGAAUUAUUGGGCGUAAAGCGAGUGUAGGCGGUUUGUUAAGUCAGAUGUGAAAGCCCGGGGCUCAACCCCGGAAGUGCAUUUGAAACUGGCAGACUUGAGUAUGGGAGAGGAAAG